CCUACGGGAGGCAGCAGUGAGGAAUAUUGGACAAUGGGCGCAAGCCUGAUCCAGCCAUGCCGCGUGCAGGAAGAAGCAUCUAUGGUGUGUAAACUGCUUUUGUACAGGAAGAAACACUCCCUCGUGAGGGAGCUUGACGGUACUGUAAGAAUAAGGACCGGCUAACUCCGUGCCAGCAGCCGCGGUAAUACGGAGGGUCCGAGCGUUAUCCGGAAUCAUUGGGUUUAAAGGGUCCGUAGGCGGUUUAAUAAGUCAGUGGUGAAAUCUGGUCGCUCAACGAUCAAACGGCCAUUGAUACUGUUAGACUUGAAUUAUAAGGAAGUAACUAGAAUAUGUAGUGUAGCGGUGAAAUGCUUAGAUAUUACAUGGAAUACCAAUUGCGAAGGCAGGUUACUACUUAUGGAUUGACGCUGAUGGACGAAAGCGUGGGGAGCGAACAGGAUUAGAUACCCUGGUAGUCCACGCCGUAAACGAUGGAUACUAGCUGUUCGGAGCAAUCUGAGUGGCUAAGCGAAAAGUGAUAAGUAUCCACCUGGGGAGUACGUUCGCAAGAAUGAAACUCAAAUGAAUUGAG
rnacentral:rRNA from 1 species